rnacentral:rRNA from 1 species
UACGGAGGGUGCAAGCGUUAUCCGGAUUCACUGGGUUUAAAGGGUGCGUAGGAGGGCAGGUAAGUCAGUGGUGAAAUCCCCCGAGCUUAACUUGGGAACUGCCGUUGAUACUAUCUGUCUUGAAUAUUGUGGAGGUGAGGCGGACUAUGUCAUGUAGCGGUGAAAUGCUUAGAUAUGACAUAGAACACCAAUUGCGAAGGCAGCUCGCUACACAUAUAUGACUCUGAGGCACGAAAGCGUGGGGAUCAAACAGG